rnacentral:rRNA from 1 species
AUUACCCUAGUAACGGCGAGUGAAGCGGGAACAGCUCAAAUUUGAAAUCUGGCCUUCGGGUCCGAAUUGUAAUUUGCAGAGGAUGCUUUUGGUUAGGUACUUUCCGAGUUCCCUGGAACGGGACGCCUUAGAGGGUGAGAGCCCCGUACGGUUGGAUACCGAGCCUUUGUAAAGCUCCUUCGACGAGUCGAGUAGUUUGGGAAUGCUGCUCUAAAUGGGAGGUAAAUUUCUUCUAAAGCUAAAUACCGGCCAGAGACCGAUAGCGCACAAGUAGAGUGAUCGAAAGAUGAAAAGCACUUUGAAAAGAGGGUUAAAUAGCACGUGAAAUUGUUGAAAGGGAAGCGUUUAUGACCAGACUUUUUCCAGGCGAAUCAUCCGGUGUUCUCGCCGGUGCACUUCGUCUGGUUGAGGCCAGCAUCGGUUUUCGUGGGGGGAUAAAAGCGGUGGGAAUGUGACUCCUCCGGGAGUGUUAUAGCCCGCCGUAUAAUACCUCCAUGGGGACCGAGGUUCGCGCUCUGCAAGGAUGCUGGCGUAAUGGUCAUCAACGACCCGUCUUGAAACACGGACCAAGGAGUCGAACAUUUGUGCGAGUGUUUGGGUGUUAAACCCUCACGCGUAAUGAAAGUGAACGGAGGUGAGAGCCCUUACGGGUGCAUCAUCGACCGAUCCUGAUGUUUUCGGAUGGAUUUGAGUAAGAGCAUAACUGUUCGGACCCGAAAGAUGGUGAACUAUGCGUGGAUAGGGUGAAGCCAGAGGAAACUCUGGUGGAGGCUCGCAGCGGUUCUGACGUGCAAAUCGAUCGUCAAAUCUGCGCA